UGCCUGAGUGUUUCAGGGCCUGAGGGAGUCCAUCGGUCUCUCAGGAAAGUGAAGACCCCAGGAGCCCCAGGAGCCACAGACUCUAAACUGAAAAACCCACGAUUUUCAGCUAAGCCAGGCCGACUCCAUGGUUUUCUGCAUGGCAUGAGUUGGAAAAUAUGAGGUUUAUCCCCAGUUUGCCCUGACUUACCUGGAGGAAUUAACUGCUCAAGUGGAUGUGAGCCAGACAGAGGACAACAUUCCGCUUGGAGCCUGGACCACCACUCAUCAAGAACAGUGUGUGGAAGAGGUCGGUGUGAGAGACAGAGGGUUUGCAGAAACACAUUAGUUCUUUACUGAAGCAGCUGCCAGAGUCCUGAAACACUUAUGUCCUGCCAGAAGGCUCUCCUGAGGGGACAGAGAGACUUUCAGUGCUGCUGCUGAGGAAACUGGAAGGGAAACAUCCCAGGGCUCCUGCUCAGAGAAUCUAAACCGCAUGACGGGAAAGAAGAUAUCGACCUUUUCAUCUCUGCAGGGUGCACGCAGCACCUGAAACAUCGCCUAGCUCAAACACUAAAACCUACUGCACAUCGCUGAGUGAACCAGUUAUCAGACCCAGCCAUUAUGUCUUUUUAGGUAUAGCCAAAGAUAGUGCUUCCAGCCACAGAAUUGCUCUCCAGGAAGACUGACCUGCUAUUAGGCACAGGAUUUGUGUGAAAUGCACCGUUUGGGUCCCCAGCCAUACUCCAUGCCAAGAACACUAUUAUCUAUGGAGACUCAUUGACACAGAAGAUGGCGAGCUUGCUGGGAGGUCAGGAGGCAAAACAGGCCAAACAGAAUAAUUUUUGGAAAACUUCCUUUUCCAAAAAAUCUAUUAUAAAAAUCUAAAGUUG
rnacentral:lncRNA from 1 species